GAUGAACGCUGGCGGCGUGCCUAACACAUGCAAGUCGAACGAACCUAAUCUUCGGAAAGGGUUAGUGGCGCACGGGUGAGAAACACGUAGGUGACCUACCCCAGAGUGGGGGAUAACGUCUCGAAAGAGACGCUAAUACCGCAUAUGCUCAGCCAUUCAGUUGGUAGAGCAAAGCUCCGGCGCUCUGGGAGGGGCCUGCGUCCGAUUAGCUUGUUGGUGGGGUAAAGGCCUACCAAGGCGACGAUCCAUAGCUGGUCUGAGAGGAUGAUCAGCCACAUUGGGACUGAGACACGGCCCAAACUCCUACGGGAGGCAGCAGUGGGGAAUAUUGGACAAUGGGCGCAAGCCUGAUCCAGCCAUGCCGCGUGAGUGAUGAAGGUCUUAGGAUUGUAAAGCUCUUUCACCGGUGAAGAUAAUGACGGUAACCGGAGAAGAAGCCCCGGCUAACUUCGUGCCAGCCGCCGCGGUAAGAC
rnacentral:rRNA from 1 species